UAUCUUCCUACUAUCCUACUGGAUUGAUAUCCUGGGAAUCAGGCACUAUAUCUUAUGUUCGUGUCUUGAAACAGCAAGGUCUCAAUACAUAUAUUUGAUUAGAUGGAGAUAAUUAGCUACUCAACAAUAGUGAAGUGACAUCAUGACAGUACCCUCUCACCACUCCUCCAGUGUGGUCAACAGUGGUAUGGGAUGCUUUUCCAUUGUGCAAUUACUAGAUAUUACAUGAACAGUGCUGCUCAGCUAUAAAGAAAAUCCCAAUCAGUCAUCCCUUUUGGAACUUCAUGAUUGAAAAUAUUUUACUGUUGAAAACCACACAAUUAGAUGACAUGUUGACAUACUAAAAUGUUUCCAAGCCAAAAAAGGAGGAUAGGUGUUAAGUAUUUUACCCUCAAACACUUUUAGUAUAUUACUGGACUCUGCGGUAACAUGGUAAGUGCCCAAAGUGAACUCCUAGAAUUGCUGUAUUCCAUGGCUUCUACCUUUUGAAGAAAGAUACUGAGAUCUAUAGAUCAAUCUAUGGAUCAGUGGUGGGCAAGCCAGAUAGAAACGCCCAAGUCAGAAAACCAACAGCCCACGUGGAUGGUCAGAUGUGGGUGGACAUGCAAUCAGCAAAGAGCAAUUCUUGUUAGGCAGGACAGUCAUUACCACCUGGCCCUUGUCGUAGUGGUGGUGAUGGAGGUGGGUGGAUGUGUGGGACAUGUACCCAUGGGGUCCAACCAGAGCAAGAAGUGACCCAGACUCUGGCAAUGGGGCAUAAGGCACUUGACUACCACCCUUGACAGGGCAGGACUAGGGCAAGGGAAGCUAUACUGCAGAUCUGAACUAAAGUACAGGCAGGGAGCUAAAGGAGUGGCUCAGAGGGGAUGGUUGGAGUCCAGGAACAAGAGUACUAGUCACUGGUCCUGUUUGAACAGUUCAAAAGAAAAUGGCCUAGAGCUCCUUAUAGAAACAAGGCUCUCCCCAGUAGAGGUAGAGGGAUUGGAAAAUGAUGCAACAGGAAAGGAACGUAUCGAAGUCUUGUCUUGUGUGUAACAAAUCACUUGUCUUCAAUUUUGCUUUUACUUACAAAUACUUAUUUUGAAUGCAAAAUUUUUACAUUGAUCAAAAAGGAUUGUGGUUGAGAAAUGAGGUUCUAGAGGCAAGACUGGCCCCAAAAGUCUAGGACAGGGCAGGAUCUAUGCAUGGAGGCUAAAGGGCUCCAAGGAGCAUGUCACUAAAGAGCCGCCAACGUAGGCAUUUCACUCUACCAUCUCACUCUAACACUGGCACAUUUUAGGGCCAGAGUUCUAAGAAUAUCUACAUUCACUUGUGCUGACCCUCCUCCCUCAAAGACUCCACCCCUUUUCUAUGUGAGAUCUGGCGGCAGAGGUCAGGCUGUGUAGUCAGGAAUUGCUGUGCAGGCUUCAGUUGGGAGGGUGUUUGGGAAAGUUAAGGGUUGACAACUGGAAAAUGCAAGUCUGGUUUCUCUAAAUAAACUAUUCAGAGGUGAAAUUAUAAUCUUUAAAACCUUAACUCUUUCAGUUCAUUAGACAAAUUUGCAAUCUAAAGCUGAGGGUUUCAUUUAGAUAUAUCUGUUUGUACACUGACAAUGCUGCAUGAAUUUUCAGAUGACUAAUCACUUGUUCCAGAUUGAAACACUGUGUGAUUAGCUGUAUAGCCUUUAGAACAAGUUAAACAGUUUGUUAGCAACACAACUUUUUUUUAAGCCAUAUAUUUAGAAUGUUUUAAAAAUUAGGCAUGUUAUUGAAAUGUAUACCAAUCUUCUCACAUCAAAAACUGUAGUCACUAGCACUAACUGCUAAAUGUCUCUUUCUCCCUAAAUAGAAUCUCAGAAGAUCCACUAAUCACUGUUACAUAAACACAAAAACAAAUGAUCUAAAGUCACUCUCAGGUUACAGUUUGCAAGUUGUCCUUCCUGAAUUUAUCGUGAAAUAAUUCCCUGUCAAGCUGGGGGUGGGUUGGUGGCAGCACCCAGAUUAAACCAAUACAUUCCUGUGAACAAAUUAUCCAACAAAUAGCAGCUCAAAGGGAUGCUUUACAUUGAGGCAAAACUGGAAAAAUACAGCUUUUUUUUUUUCUUAAAUUACAUUUAAG
rnacentral:lncRNA from 1 species